UACGUAGGGUGCAAGCGUUGUCCGGAAUUAUUGGGCGUAAAGAGCUCGUAGGCGGUCUGUUGCGUCGGCUGUGAAAACCCUGGGCUCAACCCCGGGCCUGCAGCCGAUACGGGCAGACUAGAGUUCGGCAGGGGAGACUGGAAUUCCUGGUGUAGCGGUGAAAUGCGCAGAUAUCAGGAGGAACACCGGUGGCGAAGGCGGGUCUCUGGGCCGAUACUGACGCUGAGGAGCGAAAGCGUGGGGAGCAAACAGG
rnacentral:rRNA from 1 species